rnacentral:rRNA from 1 species
UACGGAGGGGGCUAGCGUUGUUCGGAAUUACUGGGCGUAAAGCGCACGUAGGCGGCUUGGUAAGUUAGAGGUGAAAGCCUGGAGCUCAACUCCAGAAUUGCCUUUAAGACUGCCGAGCUAGCAGGUGAGAGAGGUGAGUGGAAUUCCGAGUGUAGAGGUGAAAUUCGUAGAUAUUCGGAGGAACACCAGUGGCGAAGGCGGCUCACUGGUCCAUUACUGACGCUGAGGUGCGAAAGCGUGGGGAGCAAACAGG